AAAAUCAUGAUAGACUACAGAGCGAUCGAAAUAGCCGUAACCUAACCAGGGUCUCCUCGUGAGUCGGGAUCCUCCGCUCGCCGCCGCCACCUCCUCCCCUUCCUCGUCUCCUGCCGCCGCCACCUCCUCUCCUUCCUCGUCUCCUGCCACGUCCCUCCUCUGGCUUUCGAUCUCCGCCACCGGGCCUCCUCCUCUCUCCCACGGGCCUUGGGUGUGGCUCCGCGCGAGGCGCUACAUAUGAGAGGCGUGGCGGGUGGCCUUCGGGGAGCACCUGCCGUCGAGCAUGCGCAGACGCUUAUCAUCGUGCAGCGCUUGCUGCUUCUGCCGGCGGACCGCGAGCUUCUCCGGCACCGCCGCCGCGGUCACCCUACCUCCAUCGUCUCUUUGGUUAGGAGUAUUGGAGGGAGGGCAUGGGCGUGAUUCCGGCGAGAUGUGUCUCGGUUAGAUGUCUGCGAUGCGACAAUCAGAAAUCCUCUGUUACCUUCUCAGGAACUAGGCUUUGUCGCCUGUCAUGCUUCUCAGGCGUCAAGUGACAGUUAACACAACCAGGCCUUGUACAAAUUAAUGUCUACUUGAAAGGCUUUGCACAAAUGAAUGUCUACCUGAAGUCUCUCUCGCUGGUGCAUCUCUGUUUAGAGCACAAUCGAUUGAAAUGAGGAGCUAUAUAUGACAAUGAGAAGUUGUAUAUGGAGAACAAUCAAUUAGAAACCAUAUAUGAAGCCGUAUACUCCAUCAACUGUAUAUCGCAAUGAGAAGCUGCUUAGAUGGGCUUAUACUUAAUUUGUAUGCAGCAUUUUACGUGUCACUGUAGUCGCUCUCUUGUUACUAGCAAUCUUGGUCGCAUUGUAUUUCUUUUGUCCAUGUGCAUUUAACCAGUUAUCUUGGUCUAUUGUGAAACCAGCCUUUUAUUUCGUUUGUGCUUAUGGAUUGUGGAAGACUGUUAUGUUUGAUAUUUUUCUAUUGAAUUUCUUCAUCUUAAUACACCCAUGAGGUCCCCUGAUAACAAUUUUGUCCAAGAGUCUUUCGUUAUUGCAAUUGCUGUCCAAGAGUCUUUCGUUAUUGCAAUUGCUGAUGAGGGUGCUGUUGUUGGUAGUGCAAGGAGGUGGUAUGACAUUGAUGGUUUAUGCAAAUGACAGAUGAUUUUGGUAGAGUUAGUGCCAUUUGUUUCAUGGUCGUGCAUUGGAUGCCUGUAGCUUUCCUUUUGUUGUCAAGAUAUGUCAUUGUAUGUUUUUCCUAAUUGUCGAAAAUGGCUUCAUGUGCAGUUUAGUGGUGCGUGGAUUAGGGUUUCAGCCAUGGGUGACUUUGACUUCAUAGCUGGGGCAUAUGCGAAAGUAUGCAGCAACCAAGGUGAUAUGCAGGGCCAAGGUGAUGCAAGAACUUCUCAGUUCACAAAUGCAAGAGAGUUUUGACUUCUUAUGACAUUACACUGAUCAUAUUCUGGUGAGAUGUUGAUGACAGGAAGAAUUAUUAUUGUUGUUCAAGGUAGCUGCAACUAUGCACAUGAUGCAAGAAUUAUAUUUCUGUAGAGGUAGCUGCAACUAUGCACGUCAGUUUGAUCCUCCUAACUAAAAAUAAAAUUUAAUCUUCUUGGCAGAUUCACUUUUCUAUAUACUAAUUUCCGAUGUAGUUUGAAAAAAAAGCAAAAGACUCGGAUAUGAUCAUAGGACUACAACAUGAAGUUUGACGAGUGUCCCAUAUCCCAUCAUUGUUCUCUCAGUUUUCACGACAUGAUUCUCCGUGAUAAUCUCAGAUAUACCUAGGAAGAUCAAAUUACAGAAAAAAAAACCUUGGAAUGGUUCUUUUGAUUUACCUUCGGUUCUUAUUAACGAUAUAGUUAUCUAUAUUAUCACUUCGAAGUGGUGUUCCUGGAACAUUAAAUUGAUUAUAAAUACACUAGAUAUUAAUUCUGUGCAUAUCCAUGUCCCACCCACAAUGCAAAGCAAGACUGCACAUAUACGUUAACGAAUACGCUAGCAAGAUUAGUACGCACAAUCACGCACACACAGGAGGUGCACACAGUAAGAGUCGGGAAGGGGUGGCCACUCGCCUAUGCCACGCCAAAGAUUUUACUGUCGCAGGCAACACCUUCCCAUGGUACGUACUCUGCGAUGAACCGGGUGAACCGGGUGAUGGGAGCUUGCGAAGUCAAUGAUAUAUUUUGGAUCUUGCUGCUUGAUUUUGGCAUCUAUGUUGCAGACCAGAGACCACGUAUUACAGGUACUAUUUCAAUCUCUUGGUUAUUUCAGAUUGCACAUAUAAACCGGGUGAUGGAAGAUGUACUGUACUAAGCGGUUGAAUUGUCGUGUUGACUGGGGACUAUGUCGUUGUCGAAGUCUGUAAUCCAGUUAGACGGUCUUCACUUCUGUAAAGUUCAUCAACCAGAGUCUACUCUUAGAUAUUUUGUUUAAGUAAAAUUUGCUCAAAGUGAUUUAGGAUAUUGGGCCUCUAAAAGAAAAGUAAGAAUCUAAAUUCCUAAGUAAUUAUAACAACUCAAGUGUGAUCUUCUUGUUGCUUAAUUUUCCAGUUAAGAUAUCUUUUUGAUAUAGAUUGCCAGGUUCCGUUCUCGCAUAAAACUCCCAAUCCUAUGAUCAUCAUAUGUCUCCUGUAUGAUGUUUUUGCUGGAAGGUCUGCUUACUUUUAUGUACAUCUCUUUUCUAAAAAUGUCACUGAUAGUUUGUUUUGCCGAACAUAUUAGGUUGACUGGAUUCCAUCUCAAUUCCUGUAUAUCUCUCUAAAAAGGUCACUGGCAAGGUGGUGUGGAGUGAGAAGACAUAGAGAUGGAUGAGGAUGACGGAAGGAAGCAGUAGCAGCUCGAUCCAGGAACCAACAGCUGGCUCGCUCCUAGGUCUUCAACCCGCUCCCCCCCUCCUUUCAGUCUACCGCAUGCAGCAGAUGGUGGAGCAACCAAGCAUACAUACACAUUGAAAUUGAUUCUAUUGUAAGCUGAUUCUACAUCCAAGAGAUCAAGAGAUCCUAAUGUUAUAGCAUACGUCCAUAUUGAUGUACAUGAGAGACUAAGAAUUAAACAUGGCAGAGGAAUGUGCCGAGACAAGAUAAGUGCGCACAAGCCCGCCUUAGGAGGUGCCACCAGGUGGCGCCCCAGCCUCUAGUAACACAUGAAAGCCAACGUUGAAAGAAUACUUUGUGGAA